GGAAUAUUGGACAAUGGGCGCAAGCCUGAUCCAGCAAUGACGCGUGUGUGAAGAAGGCCUUCGGGUUGUAAAGCACUUUAAGUUGGGAGGAAAAGCUGGGAGUUAAUAGCUCCUAGUGUUGACGUUACUAACAGAAUAAGAACCGGCUCACUCCGUGCCAGCAGCCGCGGUAAUACGGAGGGUGCAAGCGUUAAUCGGAAUGACUGGGCGUAAAGCGCGCGUAGGCGGUUAUUUAAGUCAGAUGUGAAAGCCCCGGGCUUAACCUGGGAAUGGCAUUUGAGACUGGAUGGCUAGAGUAUGGUAGAGGUGAGUGGAAUUUCAGGUGUAGCGGUGAAAUGCGUAGAGAUCUGAAGGAACAUCAGUGGCGAAGGCGACUCACUGGGCCAUUACUGACGCUGAGGUGCGAAAGCGUGGGUAGCAAAC
rnacentral:rRNA from 1 species